rnacentral:lncRNA from 1 species
CCCCUGCACUCCCGACCCUCCCCAGCCCGCCCUGGACUCCUGGAGAACGCACCCUUGUUAAAUCCAGUGUUCCCUUCGAUUUGUUUUAAGCAUCAUUUGGUACGCAGUCUGCCUCCAAGAACACUUGACUUAUUUCUGUGUAAUCACUGGAGAGGCUUCAAGCACUACAAAAGGAGUAAGGAAAACAUCAUCUUCCUCACCAGGGAACGCUGGAAGUGCCCGGUUCCAGGAAGCCUGAGGACACCCGUGCAGAAGCAAGGCUUUUCCAGUAAUUGUCACACCCAGAAGGCCCGGCUCCCCUCUGAGCCCUCAGCGGAUCUACACCCGCAGGAGGUUUGGGGAGGUUGUCGCCUGCCUUUGCCAAAAGCAAAGACCAAACCCCCAGGGUUUCGAGAAUUUCACUUUGGAGCAGAAAGCAAUGACCCUCCAAGUUAUUUCCCCAAAUCCACAUUAAACAGGCAUUUAUAAAGGUUCUCAGCUUUAGUGGGCAUAAAAUUAGGUGGCAUAAAUUUGCAUAUUUAAUCAACAGCCCAGGCAAUUUUGAUGUGGUGAUAUCUGCUUCAUGGAAAAUCCUGUUCUAGUGAGCUCAGAAAGUGAAAAACAUUGAUUACCCACAUAUUAACAAUUCAUUUUCAUAGAACUAACCCUUGAACAAUUGAGAAUUUCUGAACUGACAAUUCCUAAGAGUUCAAACACUAUUUCCUGCUUUAGCAUAAUCCUUACUCUCAUGCUGUAAGGUUUUUGUGAUCUUGACUUAGUAUAAUUCUAAGUACCAUCUCUCUGCUCAGCGAGAACUAAAAAUGAUAUGUUGGACAAAUGUAUAUUCUAAUAAGUGCAAUCAGUCUAUAAUAAUUGCCACAACUUCAACAGGUGCCAAAGAAACUGAUCUGUCCAGAGAAUUCAUGCAACCCAUGAUUUCAAUAACAGCAUUCUCCAGAAGUAUUUAGCACAUGUUUCCUUGCUGGAUUUCCAUAAGAAUGGGAAGUAGUUAGAUUAACUCAGGUAUCUGUAUCUAAGAGAGAUUCCCUAGUUUAUGGUGUCAUAAACCCAAGGUUUAUGGUGUCAUAUAACCCAAGGUUAUACUAGAACAUAAGAGUUUUCUUCAUAUUUAAAUUCAAAUGCUUUGAAUAAAGAUAAAAUAUCUUAGCA